AUUGAACGCUGGCGGCAGGCCUAACACAUGCAAGUCGAACGAGUGGCGGAAGGGUGAGUAAUGUCUGGGAAACUGCCUGAUGGAGGGGGAUAACUACUGGAAACGGUAGCUAAUACCGCAUACCAUCAGAUGUGCCCAGAUGGGAAUAGCUAGUUGGUGGGGUAACGGCGCACCAAGGCGAAGAUCCCUAGCUGGUCUGAGAGGAUGACCAGCUAUCCUGGAACUGAGACACGGUCCAGACUCCUACGGGAGGCAGCAGUGGGUAAUAGUGCACAAUGGGCGCAAGCCUGAUGCAGCCAUGCCGCGUGUAUGAAGAAGGCCUUCGGGUUGUAAAGUACGUUCAGCGGGGAGGCGUUACCCGCAGAAGAAGCACCGGCUAACUCCGUGCCAGCAGCCGCGGUAAUUC
rnacentral:rRNA from 1 species